GGUUGAUCCUGCCAGUAGCAUAUGCUUGUCUCAAAGAUUAAGCCAUGCAUGUCUAAGUACAAGCCGCUAGACGGCGAAACCGCGAAUGGCUCAAUAAAUCAGUUAUGGUUCCUUAGAACAGUCAAUCCUACUUGGAUAACUGUGGUAAUUCUAGAGCUAAUACAUGCACCCAAGCCCCGACUCGGGGGGCAACUCUCGAGAAAGGGCGCUUUUAUUAGAUCAAAACCAGUCGAGAGCUUCGGCUCUCGUUAAGUUUGGUGACUCUGGAUAACUUCACGCUGAUCGCACGGUCUUCGCACCGGCGACGAUUCUUUCAAAUGUCUGCCUUAUCAACUGUCGAUGGUAGGUUAUGCGCCUACCAUGGUUGCAACGGGUAACGGGGAAUCGGGGUUCGAUUCCGGAGAGGGAGCCUGAGAAACGGCUACCACAUCCAAGGAAGGCAGCAGGCGCGCAAAUUACCCACUCCCGGCACGGGGAGGUAGUGACGAAAAAUAACGAUACGGGACUCUUCCGAGGCCCCGUGAUUGGAAUGAGUACACUUUAAAUCCUUUAACGAGGACCCAUUGGAGGGCAAGUCUGGUGCCAGCAGCCGCGGUAACUCCAGCUCCAAUAGCGUAUAUUAAAGUUGUUGCGGUUAAAAAGCUCGUAGUCGGAGUUCUGUCUUCGGCCGAGGGGGGAUUCUGCCUACACGGUAUGAGUCUCGUUCCCUUUGGGUGUGCGGUGUCAAAGCCGUGCACUCUUAACGGUCGGACAAGUCCGUCGGAGUGUGGUUAUUGUUGGAAGGGCAACCGACCAAUGAGGCCACCGUAAUCGUUCGGGGUGCCUUUAAUCGGGUGUCUCGGGCGGCCGACAUAGUUUACUUUGAACAAAUUAGAGUGCUCAAAGCAGGUGACUACCGCCUGAAUAGUACAGCAUGGAAUGAUGAAAGAGGACCUCGGUCUGAUUUUGCUGGUCUUUAACGGUCGGGCUUCGGCCCGGCCUAUGCAGACCCGAGGUAAUGGUCAAUAGAGACGGACGGGGGCAUCCGUACUGCGGCGACAGAGGUGAAAUUCUUGGACCGCCGCAAGACGAACGACAGCGAAGGCAUUUGCCAAGAAUGUUUUCCUUGAUCAAGAUCGAAAGUUAGAGGUUCGAAGGCGAUCAGAUACCGCCCUAGUUCUAACCAUAAACGAUGCCAACUAGCGAUCCGCCGGUGUUACUCCCAUGACUCGGCGGGCAGCUUCCGGGAAACCAAAGUCUUUGGGUUCCGGGGGAAGUAUGGUUGCAAAGCUGAAACUUAAAGGAAUUGACGGAAGGGCACCACCAGGAGUGGAGCCUGCGGCUUAAUUUGACCCAACACGGGAAACCUCACCAGGCCCGGACACUGGAAGGAUUGACAGAUUGAGAGCUCUUUCUUGAUUCGGUGGGUGGUGGUGCAUGGCCGUUCUUAGUUGGUGGAGCGAUUUGUCUGGUUAAUUCCGAUAACGAACGAGACUCUAGCCUGC
rnacentral:rRNA from 1 species